CGGGGAGGCGGGUUCUUCCGGGUGCCAUGAGUUCCCCUUAGUACCUGAGCCUGCUUGAAUGGCCUGAGCCAUUCUGCUCGAUACUGUGAGGUGCGCUCAGGCAAGCUCCGAGGUUGCGAAAUGGACUUCCCAGCUGUGAAGCAAAGGGAUAGCUGCACUGGACUAGCAUGUGUAAUAGAAUGUACACACAAAGCACCCUUUGCCUUGGGAGAUGAACAGGUCACCUAGGUGGGGAACAUGGCGUGUGCUCCAGGCCAGGAGUCUGCCGGGGACCAGGGAGCCACCUAAGUCUCAGGUAUGUGUCCACAGAGUCUCCAGGUCUCAACCCGCUCUACCACCAAGCUUCCUGGCAUGGUUUUAGGUCCCACAGUUUCUCCCUGCAUUGUACUCUCUUCCUUCAUCCCAGUCCCCACCUCCAACUGAUCCUUCCCACUCCUGUUCUUAUCAAACCCCAGUCUGCUCACAGAAAAUAUUCUGUUUCCUCUACAGAAGGAGAUCCAUGCUUCUCCCCUAUAGCCCUCCUCUUUACCUAACUUUUCUGUGUUUGUGGAAUGUAGCUUGAUUAUUAUUUACCUAAUAGAUAAUAUCCACUGAUAAAUGAAUGAAUAUCUGUCAUUCUGGGUCUUGGUUGUGUCUUUUUUUCUAGUUGCAUUCACCUGCCUGUAAAUUCAUGAUUUCAUUUAAAAAAAACAGUUGAUUGGGCUGGAGAGAUGGCUCAGCCGUUAAAGGCUAGGCUCACAACCAAAAAAAAAACAGUUGAGUGAUACUCUCUUGAGUAAAUGUGCCAUAUUUUGUUUAUCCAUUCGUCAAUUGAGGAUAUCUAGUUUGUUUACAGUUUCUGCCUAGUAUGAAUAAAUACACUAUGAACAUAGUUGAGCUCCUUUUGGAGCACCUUUUGGGUAGAUGACAAAGAAUGGUGUGCCUGGGUCUUGAGUUAGAUGGAUUCUCAGUUUUCUGAAGAACCACUCUUCUGAGGAAAUAGUGAUUUCCAAAGUGUCUGUAUUAGUUUACACUCCCACAAGCACUGUAGGAUGGUUCCCAUUAUCCAUAUCCUUGCCAGAAUGAGCUGUCACUUGCAUUAUUGAUCUUAGCCAUUCUGACAUUUGUAAUAUGGAUUCUCAAAGUAGUUGAUUUGCAUUUUCCUAAUCACUGAGAAGGUGAAGAAGUCUUUCUCAGCUAUUUGAGAUUCCUCUGUUGAGAAUUUUCUGUUUAGAUCUAUACCCAAUUUUUUUUCUCCAUCUUUAUUAAAUUGGGUAUUUCGUAUCUGCAUUACAAUUGUUAUUCCCUUUCCUGGUUUCCAGGCCAACAUCCACGUAACCCCUCCCGCUUCCACUUCUAUAUGGGCUUCCCCUCCCCAUCCUCCACCCAUUACCAUCCUCCCCCCAACAAUCCCAUUCACUGGGGCUUCAGUCUUGGCACGACCAAGGGCUUCCCCUUCCACUGGUGAUCUUACUAGGCUAUUCAUUGCUACCUAUGAGGUUGGAGCCCAGGAUCAGUCCAUGUAUAUCUUUGGGUAGUGCCUUAGUCCCUGGAAACCCUGAUUGGUUGGCAUUGUUGUUCAUAUGGGGUCUCGAACCCCUUCAAGCUCUUUCAGUCCUUUCUCUGAUUCCUUCAACGGGGAUCCCAUUCUCAGUCCAGUGGUUUGCUGCUGGCAUUCGCCUCUGUAUUUGCUGUAUUCUUUCUGUGUCUCUCAGUAGAGAUCUACAUCCGUUUCCUGUUGGCCUGCACUUCUUUGCUUCACCCAUCUUGUCUAAUUGGGUGGCGGUAUAUGUAUGGGCCACAUGUGGGGCAGGCUCUGAAUGGGUGUUCCUUCUGACUCUGUUCUAACUUUGCCUCACUAGUCCCUGCCAAGGGUAUUCUUGUUCCCCUUUUAAAGAAGGAGUGAAGCAUUCACAUUUUGAUCAUCCGUCUUGAGUUUCAUUUGUUCUAGGCAUCUAGGGUAAUUCAAGCAUUUGGGCUAAUAGCCACUUAUGAUUGAGUGCAUACCAUGUGUGUUUUUCUGUGAUUGGGUUACCUCACUCAGGAUGAUAUUUUCCAGUUCCAACCAUUUGUCUAAGAAUUUCAUAAAGUCAUUGUUUUUGAUAGCUGUGUAAUAUUCCAUUGUGUAGAUGUACCACAUUUUCCUCUGUUGAAGGGCAUCUGGGUUCUUUCCAGCUUCUGGCUAUUAUAAAUAAGGCUGCUAUGAACAUAGUGGAGCACGUGUCUUUUUUAUUUGUUGGGGCAUCUUUUGGGUAUAUGCCCAAGAGAGGUAUAGCUGGAUCCCCAGGCAGUUCAAUGUCCAAUUUUCUGAGGAACCUCCAGACUGAUUUCCAGAAUGGUUGUACCAGUUUGCAAUCCCACCAACAAUGGAGGAGUGUUCCUCUUCCUCCACAUCCACACCAGCAUCUGCUGUCACCUGAGUUUUUGAUCUUAGCCAUUCUCACUGGUGUGAGGUAAAAUCUCAGGGUUGUUUUGAUUUGCAUUUCCCUUAUGACUAAAGAUGUUGAACAUUUCUUUAGGUGUUUCUCAGCCAUUCGGCAUUCCUCAGCUGUGAAUUCUUUGUUUAGUUCUGAACCCCAUUUUUUUUAAAUUUAUUUAUUUAAUGUAUAUGAGUACACUGUUGCUGUCUUCAGACACACCAGAAGAGGGUAUCAGAUCCCAUUACAGAUGGUUGUGAGCCACCCUGUGGUUGCUGAGAAUUGAACUCAGGACCUCUGGAAGAGCAGUUGGUGCUCUUAACCGCUGAGCCAUCUCUCCAGCCCCUUAACCCCCAUUUUUAAUAGGGUUAUUUGUGUCCCUGUGGUCUAACUUCUUGAGUUCUUUGUAUAUUUUGGAUAUAAGGCCUCUAUCUGUUGUAGGAUUGGUAAAGAUCUUUUCCCAAUCUGUUGGUUGCCAUUUUGUUCUUUGGUUGCCACAGUGUCCUUUGCCUUACAGAAGCUUUGCAGUUUUAUGAGAUCCCAUUUGUCGAUUCUUGAUCUCAGAGCAUAAGCCAUUGGUGUUUUGUUUAGGAAAUUUUUUCCAGUGCCCAUGUGUUCGAGAUGCUGACCUAGUUUUUCUUCUAUUAGUUUGAGUGUAUCUGGCUUGAUGUGGAAGUCCUUGAUUCACUUGGACUUAAGCUUUGUACAGGGUGAUAAGCAUGGAUCGAUCUGCAUUCUUCUACAUGUUGACCUCCAGUUGAACCAGCACCAUUUGCUGAAAAUGCUAUCUUUUUUCCAUU
ensembl:lncRNA